rnacentral:rRNA from 1 species
GACGAACGCUGGCGGCGUGCUUAACACAUGCAAGUCGAGCGGAAAGGCCUUUCGGGGUACUCGAGCGGCGAACGGGUGAGUAACACGUGAGUAACCUGCCCUAGGCUUUGGGAUAACCCUCGGAAACGGGGGCUAAUACCGGAUAUUCAUUCUCGGCGGCAUCGUCGGGUGUGGAAAGUUUUUCGGCCUGGGAUGGGCUCGCGGCCUAUCAGCUUGUUGGUGGGGUGAUGGCCUACCAAGGCGACGACGGGUAGCCGGCCUGGGAGGGCGACCGGCCACACUGGGACUGAGACACGGCCCAGACUCCUACGGGAGGCAGCAGUGGGGAAUAUUGCACAAUGGGCGGAAGCCUGAUGCAGCGACGCCGCGUGAGGGAUGAAGGCCUUCGGGUUGUAAACCUCUUUCGACAGGGACGAAGCGCAAGUGACGGUACCUGGAGAAGAAGCGCCGGCCAACUACGUG